UAGUAGUGGCGAACGAACGUGGAUGAGGCUAAACCGUGUGCAUGUGAUACCUGGUAGGGGUUGUGUGUGCGGUGUUGUGGGCCCUGAUGAGGAUGGCUACUGACGUCCUGCCCGCGCAUUGUUGUUAGGUGAAGUGGUGUGGAAACGCCUGCCGUAGAAGGUGAUAGUCCUGUAGCUGAAGAUGAUGGUGUGUGGGUUGUUGGGUUGCCCGAGUAGCAGCGGGCUCGUGGAAUCUGCUGUGAAUCUGCCGGGACCACCCGGUAAGCCUAAAUACUCAGUGUGACCGAUAGUGGAUAGUACCGUGAGGGAAUGGUGAAAAGUACCCCGGGAGGGGAGUGAAAUAGUUCCUGAAACCAUGUGCUUACAAUCCGUCAGAGCACUUUUUGUGUGUGAUGGCGUGCCUUUUGAAGA
rnacentral:rRNA from 1 species